rnacentral:rRNA from 1 species
UACGUAGGUGGCAAGCGUUGUCCGGAUUUAUUGGGUUUAAAGGGUGCGUAGGCGGUUUUGUAAGUCAGUGGUGAAAUACUCCAGCUUAACUGGAGGGGUGCCAAUGAUACUGCAGAACUUGAGUACAGAUGAGGUAGGCGGAAUUGACGGUGUAGCGGUGAAAUGCAUAGAUAUCGUCAAGAACACCGAUAGCGAAGGCAGCUUACUGGGCUGUAACUGACGCUGAGGCACGAAAGUGUGGGGAUCAAACAGG